CUAUGGGUAGACCCUUCAGUCGCCGCCGAUUGCCGGAGAUUUUUCUCCGAUUUUCCUGUUUGAAGCCGCGACUCCUCGACCCGUGUUCGCCGCGAUUUCUCGCCGGUGGGGGUCACCGGAGGUUGUGGUAAGGUCUCCCUCCCCUCCCUCUCUUCUCUCCCUUCUUUCCCGUGCCUGUGUGCACGAUGGUCGGCGACGGGUGUCGCCGGAUUUAGUUGGAGAAGGAAACCCCCCUGUUCGCCGCUUCUUUCCUCUGAUUUUUCGACGUCGACGGUCACGCCGACCGCCGGCCCUGGUCUCUCCGAACCCGGGAGAGUCGGCC
rnacentral:lncRNA from 1 species